rnacentral:lncRNA from 1 species
AAAAAAGAGAGAAAAUUGGUACUAGUUUUUGUGAGUAGGGAAAUUGAUGAAGAAGAAUAUGAGAAAUGUGAGGGAGAGAGUAGCCAUAAGAUGCUAAAGGAGAACUUUUGGUGUGAACAAGACUUAAAAGGAGAAAAAUGAAUUGUGUAGAUGUAGAUUGGAGUGUGUGUAUGAGUGUAUGUGUGGAAGUAGUGGAAACGGAUGGGGAGAGAGAUAUUACUAUUGCAAUUAGAGGUAUCAUAGCAUAGUGAGUUAAGGAGAGUGGAGAAGUUGUAAUGGGGUUACUGUACAAUAGUUUAAGAGUAUGGGAAGAGUAAGAUGGGUUGAUUUCUUAG